rnacentral:lncRNA from 1 species
GUAGUUGUAAUCCCUAUUCUUGUUUCCCAGAGAGUUAAUCCUUGAUAUGUUCAUCCUAACCAAUGACGGGUUUCCUUCUCUUUGUGGUCUUCUACCUAGUAACAGAUAGUUGUAAAUCUUGCUUUUGUCCCCUCCGCAGAGUUAAUCCUUGAUAUGUUAACUUUAACUAGUGACAGAUUCUCUCUCUUGGUAUUCUAUCCAGUAACUGAUAGAUGUAAUUCCUAUUUUUCC